CAUGCAAGUCGAACGGUAAAUGGUAGCAAUACUAUGAGAGUGGCGUACGGGUGCGUAACGCGUACACAACCUGCCUUGUACUGGGGGAUAGCCUCGGGAAACUGAGAUUAAUACCCCAUAAUUUUACGAUAUGGCAUCAUAUUGUAAUUAAAGCUCCGGCGGUACAAGAUGGGUGUGCGUCCGAUUAGGUAGUUGGUGAGGUAACGGCUCACCAAGCCGACGAUCGGUAGCUGGUCUGAGAGGACGAUCAGCCACACGGGCACUGAGACACGGGCCCGACUCCUACGGGAGGCAGCAGUAGGGAAUAUUGGACAAUGGACGCAAGUCUGAUCCAGCCAUCCCGCGUGAAGGAUUAAGGCCCUCUGGGUUGUAAACUUCUUUUCUUUGGGAAUAAAAAGCGGUAUUCAUAUCGCCUUGAAGGUACCAGAGGAAUAAGCACCGGCUAACUCCGUGCCAGCAGCCGCGGUAAUACGGAGGGUGCAAGCGUUAUCCGGAUUCACUGGGUUUAAAGGGUGCGUAGGUGGUCUGUUAAGUCAGCGGUGAAAGCCUGGAGCUCAACUCCAGAAUUGCCAUUGAUACUGACGGACUUGAAUCAAGUUGAGGUGGAUGGAAUAUUACAUGUAGCGGUGAAAUGCUUAGAUAUGUAAUAGAACACCAAUUGCGAAGGCAGUUCACUAAGCUUGCAUUGACACUGAGGCACGAAAGCGUGGGGAUCAAACAGGAUUAGAUACCCUGGUAGUCCACGCCCUAAACGAUGCAAACUCGACAUUAGCGAUAUACAGUUAGUGUCCAAGCGAAAGC
rnacentral:rRNA from 1 species